CAGAGAGAAGCAAAACAGUGAUGUGGAGCAAAACUCAAAAAGCGGUCUCAGUUCGGACUGAAGGCUGAAAUUCGCCUUCACGAAGUCGGAAUUGCUAGUAAUGGCAGGUCAGCAUACUGCCGUGAAUACGUUCCCGGGCCUUGUACACACCGCCCGUCACACCAUGAGAGUCGGGAACACCCGAAGUCCGUAGCCUAACCGCAAGGGGGCGCGGCCGAAGGUGGGUUCGAUAAUUGGGGUGAAGUCGUAACAAGGUAAC
rnacentral:rRNA from 1 species